GACGAACGCUGGCGGCGUGCUUAACACAUGCAAGUCGAACGGAGCGAAUGAAAGCUUGCUUUUAUAAGCUUAGUGGCAAACGGGUGAGUAACACGUAGACAACCUGCCGACAGGAUGGGGACAACAUUCCGAAAGGAAUGCUAAUACCGAAUGAAGCGGAGGAGAGGCAUCUCUCCUCUGUGAAAGAUGGCCUCUAUAUAUAAGCUAUCACCUGUCGAUGGGUCUGCGUCUGAUUAGCUGGUAGGUGAGGUAACGGCUCACCUAGGCGACGAUCAGUAGCCGGUCUGAGAGGAUGAACGGCCACAUUGGGACUGAGACACGGCCCAGACUCCUACGGGAGGCAGCAGUGGGGAAUCUUCCGCAAUGGGCGCAAGCCUGACGGAGCAACGCCGCGUGAGUGAAGAAGGUCUUCGGAUCGUAAAGCUCUGUUGAUGGGGACGAACGUGCCUAAUGCGAAUAGUAUUAGGUAA
rnacentral:rRNA from 1 species